AUUGAACGCUGGCGGCAUGCCUUACACAUGCAAGUCGAACGGCAGCACGGGUGCUUGCACCUGGUGGCGAGUGGCGAACGGGUGAGUAAUACAUCGGAACAUGUCCUGUAGUGGGGGAUAGCCCGGCGAAAGCCGGAUUAAUACCGCAUACGAUCUACGGAUGAAAGCGGGGGACCUUCGGGCCUCGCGCUAUAGGGUUGGCCGAUGGCUGAUUAGCUAGUUGGUGGGGUAAAGGCCUACCAAGGCGACGACCAGUAGCUGGUCUGAGAGGACGACCAGCCACACUGGGACUGAGACACGGCCCAGACUCCUACGGGAGGCAGCAGUGGGGAAUUUUGGACAAUGGGCGAAAGCCUGAUCCAGCAAUGCCGCGUGUGUGAAGAAGGCCUUCGGGUUGUAAAGCACUUUUGUCCGGAAAGAAGUACUUGGCCCUAAUACGGGCGGGGGAUGACGGUACCGGAAGAAUAAGCACCGGCUAACUACGUG
rnacentral:rRNA from 1 species